ensembl:snRNA U4 U4 spliceosomal RNA
AGCUUUGUGUAAUGGUAGUAUCAUAGCCAGUGAGGUGUAUCCAAGACGUGAUUGUUGCUAACAGAAAAGUAUAAUAUGUAAUCAGAAAAAUGUAGAUGUCUUAAAUAGUCAGCUUGAUGAAUUUCUAUAACCUGAACAG